rnacentral:rRNA from 1 species
GCGUAACACGUGGGUAAUCUGCCCUCUGAUGGGGAAUAACUCGCCGAAAGGCGGGCUAAUACCGCAUAAUAUUCCUUGGGCUCCGGUUUGAGGACUCAAAGCCGUAAGGCGUCGGAGGUGGAGCCCGCGCACGAUUAGCUAGUUGGUAGGGUAACGGCCUACCAAGGCUAUGAUCGUUAGCUGGUCUGAGAGGAUGGCCAGCCACACUGGAACUGAGACACGGUCCAGACUCCUACGGGAGGCAGCAGUGGGGAAUCUUGCGCAAUGGGCGAAAGCCUGACGCAGCGACGCCGCGUGGGGGAUGAAGCUUCUCGGAGUGUAAACCCCUUUCGACCGGGACGAAUACCUCGCAAGAGGGGUGACGGUACUGGUGGAAGAAGCACCGGCUAACUCUGUGCCAGCAGCCGCGGUAAUACAGAGGGUGCAAGCGUUGUUCGGAAUUAUUGGGCGUAAAGGGCGCGUAGGCGGCGCGGUAAGUCACCUGUGAAACCUCCCGGCUUAACUGGGAGCCUGCAGGCGAAACUACCGUGCUGGAGUAUGGGAGAGGUGCGUGGAAUUCCCGGUGUAGCGGUGAAAUGC